rnacentral:rRNA from 1 species
AAUCCAUAGGUUAAUGAGGCGAACCGGGGGAACUGAAACAUCUAAGUACCCCGAGGAAAAGAAAUCAACCGAGAUUCCCCCAGUAGCGGCGAGCGAACGGGGAGGAGCCCAGAGCCUGAAUCAGCAUGUGUGUUAGUGGAAGCGUCUGGAAAGGCGCGCGAUACAGGGUGACAGCCCCGUACACAAAAGCGCAUGUGCUGUGAGCUCGAUGAGUAGGGCGGGACACGUGGUAUCCUGUCUGAAUAUGGGGGGACCAUCCUCCAAGGCUAAAUACUCCUGACUGACCGAUAGUGAACCAGUACCGUGAGGGAAAGGCGAAAAGAACCCCGGCGAGGGGAGUGAAAAAGAACCUGAAACCGUGUACGUACAAGCAGUGGGAGCACAGGUUUACCUGUGUGACUGCGUACCUUUUGUAUAAUGGGUCAGCGACUUAUAUUCUGUAGCAAGGUUAACCGUAUAGGGGAGCCGUAGGGAAACCGAGUCUUAACCGGGCGUUAAGUUGCAGGGUAUAGACCCGAAACCCGGUGAUCUAGCCAUGGGCAGGUUGAAGGUUGGGUAACACUAACUGGAGGACCGAACCGACUAAUGUUGAAAAAUUAGCGGAUGACCUGUGGCUGGGGGUGAAAGGCCAAUCAAACCGGGAGAUAGCUGGUUCUCCCCGAAAGCUAUUUAGGUAGCGCCUCGUGAAUUCAUCUCCGGGGGUAGAGCACUGUUUCGGCUAGGGGGCCAUCCCGGCUUACCAACCCGAUGCAAACUGCGAAUACCGGAGAAUGUUAUCACGGGAGA